rnacentral:piRNA from 1 species
CGGCAAAACCACGUCUGUGCUAGAGCAUGA